rnacentral:lncRNA from 1 species
GUGCCCACGCCGCACCCCCGUGCGCCGCGCUCGCCACUGUCCUGUCUGCGGUCGCCGUCGCCUCGUGUCUGUACCUCGGGGCGAGGACCAACGACCUCCAGGCGAGGAUCGCUGCGCUGGAGUCCGCCAAGGGAGCCCCCACCGUCCGUCCGCUGCCCGACUCCCUGGAUCAGCUGAAGGCCCUGGUGCAGGAGAAGGUGGAGCGGCUUCUGGCCCAGAAAUCCUACGAGCAUAUGGCUAGAAUAAGAGUCUCGAGAGAAGCGCCCUCCGAGUGUAACUGCCCAGCAGGUAAAUGGAGCUUGUUACGCGGCCUCUUCCACAGCAGCGCGCCUGAAGUCAGAGGUCCCGGGUCUGUCAAGUGUGCUGAAACAGCAGUGAGGAAAGAGUGCAGACCCAGCCUGCUGUAAUAGAAUCAGCACGUCCCAGUCCAAGGGUGGCACACAGAGGCCCAGAUAGGACUGUGAGCAGCGUACAGGGUCUGCCAGGGAGAGUGGAGAACAGGGCGAGACGGUGUAGAAAGACAAGGGCUCAGACUCACAGAUCGAAUUCAAUGAUAUGAAAUUAAUGUCUAGUGAAAAGGACUGCAGAAUUGUUAGACCCUAGAUUCCCUGGUGGGUAAUGCUCCGCUAGUGCAUGUUUCUGUUUAUCGUUUGGC